GAUACUGCUAUACUAGUGAUACUCAUUUAUCAUUUCCAUCAGACAAAGUGCAGAAGACUGAAUUGCCCUUAUGCUCAUCCUGCAUUGGUGCCUUCUUCCACUCAGGCUUCUCCACAGCCAUGGUAAUGGUGGUGUGCCCCCUGGCAGUCCGAGACCACAUACUUCGGAGUACGGAACAACAGCCACUGUGCUGCCCAAUUGAAGCCACCGGGGCUUGGGCCAUAGCUCCUGCGUUUGCUUGGUAGUUAGGGAUGCAGCGACGGUUGCUUGCCCAAAUCAAACUGCAGCCACUAGGACAGAUGGUUGACAGCUGGAGCGAUGAACGCUGAUGGUGAGCACAAUGAUUUGGUGUUUUUCGCUAGUGAAACUGAGGCAAAGGAAUGAGGAUGCCUCUGGUUGGAGGAAACUUGAAAGGAUAUAAUAAUAUCCUCACGUGAAGAUGAUUUUUGGUGGUGGAUAUACUGCUGUUGAAUUUGCUUCUAUCUGGAGAGACUUAGGUGCUGAAGUAGACUUGUUUUAUAGAAAAGAACUUCCUCUGAGAAGAAUAUUUCUGUUGUUUGUGCGUAUUUGUGCGGUUUUGCAGUAUACUGAAGUGGAUGGUAUGAUUUAAGUUGUGAUUGCCAUUGUUCAAGAAUGGAGCCUGUUAUGCGCACUAUAGCAUUAGGAAGUGUCCAAUUGGAAAUGGAAUAUUUUUAAAAAUAGGAUUAAAAUUGUUUAAAUAGGAAAAUAUUGGAUUUAGAGAUCGGAUUGAUAUCCUUUAAGCAAUAAGGAAGAGUUUAUCAAUGUAUUAUAUCCUUCAUUCGUCAUCCCAAACCAUGUUUUGCCCCAUUCCCCUACGUUGUAUCCCGUUCGGUCGUCUUUGUGGUGGUGGUAGUUACCCCAGCUUGUGCCAGGCUCUAGAACCGGGCUCGUGGCUCUGAUUAUAACUUCAUAACACGUCUGUAUAAAAAUAGAAAUUCUGUCAUUGGCAUUUAGUAUUCUCAAAUUUCUACAUUUUUCAAGUUCUGGAUUUUUCUUAACAUUAGUGCGGCAGAAAGAUGAAUGUAACAGUACACUGCCACUGGCACAGGUUUCAUUUUUGUAAUCCAGUUGAGUAGAAUGGCCGCUGGCAUUGAGGUUGUGACGGAUAAAGGAGAUGAGCUCAUUGCAACGGUGUUCUGUUAGCUACAUGUGUAUUUCCUUUGUUUCGACACUUAUCUGUUCCGUUUAAGCAUUUGUUCACGUUAUGCAAGCAAUUAUGGGACAACACUUGUUUUGUUUCUGUGGAGUAAAAGUGUAUUGUAUUCUGAAAUACUGAUUUGUAUU